GACAAACGAGAGAUACAAGAUCAUGGCAGUUCUCUCUUCUUCCACCGGACAUUGCUGUGUCUGCCUAAAAUGUCGAAUUGGCAACAGCCAUUUUGUAACCACGGGACACAGAGCAAAGUCCGCAGAGCAGAAAGGUGGAAGGAUCCUGGAUUCCUGGUGAGGUUGAAGCACUCAAAAGGUGGGUCUUGGUCCCCUCCGCUUGAACCCGGAUGGACUUUUGUGAUGACCUCAACCACUGGGUGUGGUGGAAGUGGCUGCAUGAGUUCUGAGGCUUGGUCAUUAAAAGUGAUAUGGCCGGGCGCGGUGGCUCACACCUGUAAUCCCAGUACUUUGGGAGGCCGAGGUGGGCAGAUCACUUGAGGUUAGGAGUUCGAGAUCAGCCUGGCCAACAGAGUGAAACUUUGUCUCUAAUAAAAAUACAAAAAUUAGCCAGAUGUGGUGGCACACGCCUGUAAUCCCAGCUACCUCAGAGGCUGAGGCAGGAGAAUCGCUUGGGCUGGGAGGCGGAGGUUGCAGUGAGCCGAGAUUGCACCACUGCUCUCCAGCCUGGGCGACAGAGUGAGUGAGACUCUGUCUCAAAAAAAAAAAAAGUGAUAUGGCCUCUCCUUGGAUCUCUCUUGGGACACACUCAGGGGACCCCCUCAUGAACUGCAGGAAAGACGUCUGGCUUUCCUGAAGCCACCAUGCUGAAAUGAACACACAAGCAGGAGAGCGACGCCCGAGGAGGACCAGCUGUUUGAGUCUGCCCAGCCCAGGUGUCAGACUGUAAAUGAAGACGGCAGCCAGAUGACACUGCCAGCCACCAGCCCCUCUGACUGCACCCUCCAAGAGAUCCAGAGCUCAAACCGCCCUGGGGAGCCACUCCCGAGAUCUUACCCCCAGAAACCAUGAGGUAGAGAAUGAUUCUUGUUGCUUUAAUCCUCCAAGUUUGGGGGGUGAUUUGUUGUGUAGUCAGAGAUAACGAAUACGCCACCUUCAUUCUGAGCAUUCAUCAUAUGAAGUAAUACGUCUUCCUUAUUGCUUAAGCCAGAGGUCGGUGAAAAUUUUCUGUAAAGGGCAGACAUUAAAUAUAAUUUUAGGCUUUCCAGAUCACAUGGUCUCUAUUGCAAUGACUCAGCUUGCCGUUGUUGCAUGAAAGCAGCCAUCGGCAAUAGAAAUGGGUGGGCGUAACUGCAUUCCUAUAGACCUUCAUUAACAAAAACAAGGAGCCAGACCAUAAGCAGCAGUUUGUUGACCCCUGGUUAAAGCCAUUUUUGAGUUAAGUUUUCUGUUACUUGCAGCCCAAAACAUACUGUUACAACUAUCCAAUCAGAGAGCUCCAGGCAAAGGGCAACCACAAGAGGCUCUAGGGUGUGUGCAUAGUUCUCUGGGGUGUGUGCCUGGGCUCUGGGGUGUGUGCAUAGUUCUCUGGGGUGUGUGCCUGGGCUCUGAGGUGUGUGUGAGCUCUGAGGUGUGUGCAUAGUUCUCGGGGGUGUGUGCAUCGUUCUCUGGGGUGUGUUCUUGGGCUCUGGGGUGUAUGCCUGGGCUCUGGAGUGUGUGCACAGGUCUGAAAAUGUGUGUAGAAGUCAGGAUGUGUACACAGGUCUGAGUGUGUUGUGUGGGCUCUAUGGUGUGUGCCAAGAUCUGGGGUGUGCAUGGGUUCUGGGGGUGUAUGUGUGAGCCCUAGCAUUAUGCGAAUGGGCUCUGGGAUGUAUGCACAGGUCUGAGUGUGUGCAUGAGCACACAGGUCUGAGUGUAUGUGUGAGAGCUCUGGGGGUGUGUGCAUGAGCUCUGGGGGUAUGUACAGGUCGGGAUGGGUGUGUAUGAGCUCUGGGGGGGUGUGCACAGGUCUGGGUGUGUGUGUUUCUGUGUGUGUGUGAGCUCUGGAAGUGUGUGCAUAGGCUCUGGGGUGUAUGCAUAAGCACACAGGUCUGGGUGUGGGUGUGUGAGCUCUCGGGGUAUGGGCACGGGUUCUGGGGAUGCAUGCCUGAGCCCUGAGCGGGCCCCACUCACCCACCAUCUUAUCUACUGAGACAAGAAGGGCUGGGCUGUUCGUUCAUGAAGUCUCCUGGGCAUCUCUUAUCAUGUGAUCCCCAGCCUCUGCGUCCUCCUCCUCCUCACAGGCUCCAGGAUCUCUGGAAUCCAACUCACUGGACGCCCAGCCAGUCAGGCAGGCAGGGAGUGUGGAGGCCUCCCCUCAAGUAAGGACCUAAUGGCUAAAGCUGGGCAUGGGACAGGCCUGUGCAAAGAGAGGAGAGGGAGGAAGGACCAGGGUGUGCUGGAAGCGUAUCCUCCCUCUCCCCGGCCUCUCUCCUCCCACCUCAGAUGGGCCUGGAGGAGAUUAGCUUCACUCACGGCAGUAAUUGUUUGCUGAGUGCUUGCUGUGUUUUAAGCUCAGCAUUUACAAGCAGGUGACAUGGAGAACUCUAGGUGCUGGACAUGCUGUUAGCCCCAUUUCAUGGACGAGGGAAUGGGCGAACAGAGAGGGAAGUCACUGUCCUGGGGACCCACAAUAGGAGGCAGGAUGCCCACCCAGGCUGGCUGUCCCCACGCCAAGAUCUAGGAUGAGUCCUCAGUCAAAGCCAGAGCAGACCCAACGGAACCGCUCAGCCCCCUGACAAGGCAAUGAGUCUCGCCGGCCAGGGGGGCUCUGCCCCCGCCCCCACCCAGGUGGGUCCCCUGCCCCCAGGCUGGCAAGGUGCUGGGGGGCUGAUGCCGGAGCCCCUGCUGCUUGCCGCCUGCCUGCUCAUCUUGUUUGUUCCAAUUAUGUCAAUGGCCAGUGAUGUUCCAGCAGGUGGCUGGGUCCUGCUGUGAGGACAACAUGGAGCAGAGCCCAGGCUUACCUACAAUGGACAUGCAGUGGCGGCCUCCCUCCCGCAUACCACAGCCUUCCUGCAAUGCUGCGACUCGGGUUCAUUCCAGGGGAUCCUUGAGCGCUGGCGGCACAGAGGGGCCAACCUUGAACUCAGCAAAGAGGAAUGCUUGACUCCUCUCCAGCUGGAAGGCUGUACCUGGGCUAAGAACUGAUGAGCCUGCUUGAAGGAAACACUCCGUGCUUUUGUUAAAGGGGAAGGGAAAAUAAAAUCCCAAAUCAACCUUGGAUCAAUGUCUCUUCCCCAGACGGCAGCCCAAGGCCUCUGCGGCCUCUGCAUCAGUCAGCUGGGAAAGCGGCACAGCCCCUGGGACUGUGGCUGGGCCAGCCAGCCUCCACCCAGACAGAGCCCGCAGCAGGCCGUUGAUUCACCGUUCCCCAGCAAAAGCGUCAUCCUGAGUCCCAUGGAAGAGACUGGUUAAUCUCUUACUGUGUAAUUAAUCUCUUACUGUGUACCAGGCACAUGCAUACAUCCCAUAACGCAUUCAGCCUCACACCAUCUACUUUACAAAGCACAUAGCACUACUGUCUUCAUCUGGCAGUUAGCAAACCUGUGGCCCAGAGGGGUGGACCAAUUUACUCAUAGCCACAUAGCUGUCAGGAGCUGAGAUACAAGCCCAGGCGUGGUGGAUCCAAAGCCUCUUGUCCUGGCUGGGCAUAAUGGCUCACACCUGUAAUCUCAGCACUUUGAGAGCCUGAGGCAGGAGGAUUGCUUAAGGCCUGGAAUGUAAUAUCAGCCUGGGCAACAUAGCAAGACCCUGUCUUUAUAGAAAAAAUUUUAAAAAUUGGCCAGGCAUGGUGGUGUGCCUGUGGGCCUGGCUACUUGAGAGGCCGAGGCGGGAGGACUGCUGGAGUCCAGGAGUCUGAGGCUGCAGGGAGCUGUGACUGCGCCAGUGCACUCCAGCCAGGGUGAAAGAGUGAUGCCCUAUCUCAAGAAAAAAAAAAAAAGCUCUUGUCCCAAACCCUAUAUCACCAGGUCCGUAGAAGCAGGAGUGUAUUGAAUCCAUUAGGGAGGCACUUGGCUACAAGUAACAAAAACCUUGGCUCACAGUGGCUUAAAGCAUAAGGUCAUUCAUUGUUUAUUUCGGAGGACAUUGAGAAGCAGGCAUAGCCCAGGUGGGUUCACUAGUUCCUCAGUGUCAGGAUACAGGGCUGGCAUCUCUGCAAUUCUCUUAGCCUUCUCCUCAUGGUGGCACCAUGGCUGCCACAGCUGCAGACAUCACUUCAUCCCACAAUGACAUCCAAAGGCAGGAAGGAAGGUGAGGUGGGAAGGAGGCAAAAGGGACCAAACCUCUCUUCCUGUAACCUUCUCAUUUUCUAGUGAGACCUUUUUCCCAGGAGCCGCCAGCAUACUUCCCUCACGUUUCUGGCCAGAAGUGGAUCACAGGCCUUCCCCGGAUUACUCAGGCCCAGAGGGUGCAAUGUGGUCCCCACUACAUGGUAGACAGGAUUUGAACUAAACAACAGUUCGCUGGAGUGGAAAAUAAAGGAUGCUACAUUUUCUUAUUGUGAUAAAAAAUAUAUAUCAUAAAAUUUACCAUUUUAACAAUUUGUAAGUAUACAGGUUGGUAGCAUUAAGGACAGUCACAUUGUUGUGCAACCACUACCAUCCAUUUCCAGAAUUUUUUCAUCUUCCCAAACUGAAACUCUGUCUCCAUUAAACACCAACUCUCCACCUGGCUCCUGCCAGCCCCUGGCUCCCACCAUUCUACUUUCUGUAUCUGUGGAUUUGACUAUUCUAAGGUUGGACUAGUCCAACCUGUACAUAAAUUGAAUCAUACAGUAUUUGUCCCUUUGUGGCUGGCUUAUUUCACUCAGCACAGUGUCCUCAAGGCUCAUCCAUGUUGUGGCCCGUGUCAGAAUAUCCUUCCUUUUUCAAGGCU
rnacentral:lncRNA from 1 species